AAAAACCGUCAGAAACAAAGAACGAAGCAUAUAAUGGGUUCUAGAACUUUUUCCCAAAUAAGCUUUCAACAGAGAGAUCCAGAAACUGGUAUAGAACCAACCGAUCUAUCCCUUUGGAUGAUUACUCAUUGUAAAAAUGAUGAAUGGUCGGAAGAGGCUUCACGUGGCAUUUAUGAGAACGCAGCUGAGAAAAUUGCUGAGAAAAUAUAUCAAAC